AAUAAGAAGUAGUGGCUCUGAUUCAGGGGUCGUGACUACGACCGAUGAAUGAGUGCUAUAAAGUCCUGAAAUUACUCUCCCAAAAAAGGGAAUAACCCUCAAUAAGAAAACUUAAAACGGAAAGGAGGACCACGAGAGUCCUAAACAGGAGAGUAAAAUGAAGAGGGGAAAAGGGGGUCCCUACCUUUUAAUAAUUCUAAAGAUACACACAACAAGACAGGUGGGAAGAAAUAUAGCAAAAGAGAGUCCUGCAGGCUAGACACAGGAACCAGUUACUAAAAAACUGCCUGCUAAAUGUCUAGGAUCCUAAAAGGCACGCCCUCUAAAUCUUCCCAGAACAGGGACCCUAAUUGAAAAAGGGGGGUAACUAAAGAAAUAGGGAAAGGGAGCAAAUGUAAAGGGAGGUAUCCCAAGGAGUAAAUAUGCAAAAAACUCCUAUAAAGGUCCACUUGCCCUAGUUACCUCGGCACUGUGAUGAAUCACCAGUGCCUACCAAAGAAACUCAGUCCCUGCCUGUCAAAAGUAAGUAAUAACUGAUAAAAUAAAUUAAAUUAAAUCAAUCCAUCAGUGCUACCAAAAAAGUGCAAAACAAAGAAAAUAAAAUAAAAAGAAGCUCGACGCGCGUUUCAGCGUUUCAACACGCCGUCGUCAGGAGCAAUAAACUUUUGGAGUUCCCUGUAGCGAUUUAAAUACACCUUGUUACAAUCUAUAAGAUGAAAAGCAGCUGUUGUGUACCACGUGUGUUGCCGACAAUACUGUUAGCUUAUUGGUCCGCUACCUCUUAGGCCCGCCUCUUGUCCGCCGCGUCAUAUGACGUGGUCUUAGAAUGAAUGAAGGGGCGUCAUAAUGAGGUUUAGACGAUGUCCACAUGAGUUGAUUCAUCC